ACAGCAAUUCCAAUGUACAUGUUGUCACAAAGAAAUAUCUUUCUUGUAGACCAGGGGGUUCACUGAUUGACAUCACAAAAUUUGGGUCACUUAUGCAUUAAUCAAAAUAAUCUGCCUGCCUUUGCCUGAAUACUCCUUGUGUAGUCUGACUGUAAUGGUUCUUCAUCAUUCUUUUCCAUUACUAGAAAGAUGUCUGAGUUACAAAAAGAGAUUAAGCAAACCCUACUGUGAGUGAUACCAAGCCUUCCUGAGGAGCCACUCAAUCAGUCAGUUGAGAAAUUUAUAGGCUUAGGAGUAGAAGAUUUAAUGUACGUGAAAGAAGAGGACAUCUUAAAAGUUCAUACAACCUGUUCAGUGCCGAAAACUGCUCAGCGCCUGCAAAGAUCAUGGUAAGUCAGACAAUAAGCUAAUUAUGUUGUGCUGCAUUGUUUGGUUGCAACACUCUUGUACUGAUAUUUCAUUACAUUUUUCAGAAAAAAGAAGUAGUAUGUUGGUUCAGUAAUUAGUUUAACCUAGGUCUCCUCAAGAUUCACCACAAAUAAGCUCCUCAGGCUCCUCAGUAAGAAAAUGGAUGGACUCACGCUUCAAGCAGAUGCAUUUGCCACUUCAGCAGAUGUCCAAGGAACACUCAACUUGCCUGACAGUCCUUGAAUUAUAAUUCUUGGUGAAACUCUAAGCAACCAGAAGUGGAUGGUGAGCAUUGAAGAUCACGUUGUAUGUGAGGGAACACAACCCAGCUUUGUCUGUGGCCGUGCUGCUGUGUUUGCUUCAUGUUACAAUUUCAACCUCCAAUAUAGGAAGAGACUGCAAGCACCCUUGAUUUUGUUCAAAGAUGAUUUAUUGACAUCAACCCUGAACAAAUGCCCAAGGACAAUCAAGGAAAAGCUACAUCCAAGAAGACUAGCCAAGUAGUCCAUAACAAGAAGAACACAGUAAACCCUCAUUUUUCUUAUCCACUUUGUAAGAUAAUGGACUUUGAAUGGAAUUUGGGCUGAGUUCAUCCAAGACCACUUUGUUCACUUUUAAUUUUGACAGUCUAACAAUUUUUGUCUAACAUGGUGUUCAUAUUCUAUUUUAAUGUGAAAGUCAGCAUUGGUGCUACUUUUAAAUUUAGUAGUGAAUGCUGCACUAUGUUUAUUUCCAGUGUUUCCCACCUCUGUUGCAACCAUUUGUGUUUAACUGAAAUAAUGAAAGACUGCUAACAAUUAAAAAAACUUGUAAUGUAAAAAGCUAAUCAAGAUCUUAAAAAUAAAUGUUUAUUGGAAUGUUUCAAAUGAAAGAAGCAUUAUUUGUUUACAUUUAAAUUAAUCUGUCAGUAAAUAUUGCAAUACAAUGUCCUUAUCAAUGCUGUAGUGACACUAUAAAAUGGUAUUCACAGUAUUCCCACUGUAAAAAUACAAUACAUAACUGUAGAAAAUACAGUUUUAAAACUAACAUUUUCUCAUGUAAUUUUACAGUAAAAAUUUCGUUGUAAUUUUACAGUAAAAUACUGGCAGCAGAGUUGCCAGCCACUUA